UUCUCCCAUUCGUCGCCCCGGCGGAGGCCGGGGCCGCCAGAGAUACGCGGCACGCUCAACCCUAUAGCGGCCCCGGCCUCCGCCGGGGCGACGAAUGAGGAUA
rnacentral:pre_miRNA from 1 species